rnacentral:rRNA from 1 species
UACGUAGGGAGCAAGCGUUGUCCGGAUUUACUGGGUGUAAAGGGUGCGUAGGCGGCUUUGCAAGUCAGAAGUGAAAUCCAUGGGCUUAACCCAUGAACUGCUUUUGAAACUGCAGAGCUUGAGUGGAGUAAAGGUAGGCGGAAUUCCCGGUGUAGCGGUGAAAUGCGUAGAGAUCGGGAGGAACACCAGUGGCGAAGGCGGCCUGCUGGGCUCUAACUGACGCUGAGGCACGAAAGCGUGGGUAGCAAACAGG